AUGAACGCACCCCUUGGCUGCAAUCAAGCUUCUCGCCGACAGUGUGUUGCUAAGCUGGCUCUGUCUCGUGGCCUGAAGUCACUAGUUGAAUCAAUUAGCACUUUCCCUGGAGCCGAGGAGCGUAGGCGUGGACAACGAGGAAGAGAGCAGCAGGGACGGUGCUCCGGUGCUUCCGCGAUAGAGCGAGCAGGAAGAGUUGCAGCGGCGGCGGCGGCGACGACGACGACGGCCGACAGGCGAGCUUGGGCGCCGGCGAAUGCAGAAUGGAAUUGGGGAUUUGUUAAACUGAGCGAGCAGGAUGAGUCGGGGGCCGAAACAGGAUUCAGCAUUGCUUUAAGAUUCGUUUGUCCAGGUGUCAGCCGAUGGAGAGGGUCUCACGUCCGGGGGCGUACGACCAGGGUCGUAUAA
rnacentral:rRNA from 1 species